UGGGGAAUAUUGCACAAUGGGCGCAAGCCUGAUGCAGCCAUGCCGCGUGUGUGAAGAAGGCCUUCGGGUUGUAAAGCACUUUCAGCGGGGAGGAAGGGGAUAAGGUUAAUAACCUUGUCGAUUGACGUUACCCGCAGAAGAAGCACCGGCUAACUCCGUGCCAGCAGCCGCGGUAAUACGGAGGGUGCAAGCGUUAAUCGGAAUUACUGGGCGUAAAGCGCACGCAGGCGGUCUGUCAAGUCGGAUGUGAAAUCCCCGGGCUCAACCUGGGAACUGCAUUCGAAACUGGCAGGCUAGAGUCUUGUAGAGGGGGGUAGAAUUCCAGGUGUAGCGGUGAAAUGCGUAGAGAUCUGGAGGAAUACCGGUGGCGAAGGCGGCCCCCUGGACAAAGACUGACGCUCAGGUGCGAAAGCGUGGGGAGCAAACAGG
rnacentral:rRNA from 1 species